rnacentral:rRNA from 1 species
AGAGUUUGAUCCUGGCUCAGAUUGAACGCUGGCGGAAUGCUUUACACAUGCAAGUCGAACGGCAGCACGGGAGCUUGCUCCUGGUGGCGAGUGGCGAACGGGUGAGUAAUAUAUCGGAACGUAUCCAAUAAUGGGGGACAACGAGUCGAAAGAUUCGCUAAUACCGCAUACGCCCUACGGGGGAAAGCUAGGGAUCGUAAGACCUGGCGUUAAUGGAGCGGCUGAUAUCUGAUUAGCUAGUUGGUGGGGUAAAGGCCUACCAAGGCUUUGAUCAGUAGCUGGUCUGAGAGGACGACCAGCCACACUGGAACUGAGACACGGUCCAGACUCCUACGGGAGGCAGCAGUGGGGAAUUUUGGACAAUGGGGGCAACCCUGAUCCAGCCAUUCCGCGUGAGUGAAGAAGGCCUUCGGGUUGUAAAGCUCUUUCGCAAGGGAAGAAAACUUAUCCUCUAACAUAGGGUGAGGCUGACGGUACCUUGAUAAGAAGCACCGGCUAACUACGUGCCAGCAGCCGCGGUAAUACGUAGGGUGCGAGCGUUAAUCGGAAUUACUGGGCGUAAAGCGUGCGCAGGCGGUUUUGAAAGUCAGAUGUGAAAUCCCCGGGCUCAACCUGGGAACUGCGUUUGAAACUCCAAGACUAGAGUAUGGCAGAGGGGGGUAGAAUUCCACGUGUAGCAGUGAAAUGCGUAGAGAUGUGGAGGAAUACCAAUGGCGAAGGCAGCCCCCUGGGGUCAAUACUGACGCUCAUGCACGAAAGCGUGGGGAGCAAACAGGAUUAGAUACCCUGGUAGUCCACGCCCUAAACGAUGUCUACUAGUUGUUGGGAGAGUAAAAUCUCUUAGUAACGCAGCUAACGCGUGAAGUAGACCGCCUGGGGAGUACGGUCGCAAGAUUAAAACUCAAAGGAAUUGACGG